GCGGCUUCGCUUGCCAUUUCCACCCUAACGCUCCCAUCUACAACGACCGUGAGCGUCUCCAGAUAUACAUCUCCGACGCUGGCAUCCUCGCCGUCUGCUACGGUCUCUACCGCUACGCUGCUGUCCAAGGAGUUGCCUCGAUGGUCUGCUUCUACGGAGUCCCGCUUCUGAUAGUCAACGGGUUCUUAGUUUUGAUCACUUACUUGCAGCACACGCAUCCUUCCCUGCCUCACUACGAUUCGUCUGAGUGGGAUUGGUUGAGGGGAGCGUUGGCUACCGUUGACAGAGACUACGGGAUCUUGAACAAGGUCUUCCACAAUAUCACGGACACGCACGUGGCGCAUCACCUGUUCUCGACCAUGCCGCAUUAUCACGCGAUGGAAGCUACCAAGGCGAUAAAGCCGAUACUGGGA
rnacentral:lncRNA from 1 species